rnacentral:rRNA from 1 species
GAGUUUGAUCCUGGCUCAGAUUGAACGCUGGCGGCAUGCCUUACACAUGCAAGUCGAACGGCAGCACGGGAGCUUGCUCCUGGUGGCGAGUGGCGAACGGGUGAGUAAUGCAUCGGAACGGUAUCCUGGAGUGGGGGAUAACGUAGCGAAAGUUACGCUAAUACCGCAUAUUCUGUGGAGCAGGAAAGCGGGGGACCUUCGGGCCUCGCGCUCUUGGAGCGGCCGAUGUCGGAUUAGCUAGUUGGUGAGGUAAAGGCUCACCAAGGCGACGAUCCGUAGCAGGUCUGAGAGGAUGAUCUGCCACACUGGAACUGAGACACGGGUCCAGACUCCUACGGGAGGCAGCAGUGGGGAAUUUUGGACAAUGGGGGCAACCCUGAUCCAGCCAUGCCGCGUGAGUGAAGAAGGCC